GACGAACGCUGGCGGCGUGCCUAAUACAUGCAAGUCGAACGAGAGCGACCGGUGCUUGCACUGGUCAAUCUAGUGGCGAACGGGUGAGUAACACGUGGGUAACCUGCCCAUCAGAGGGGGAUAACAUCCGGAAACGGGUGCUAAAACCGCAUAGGUCUUCGAGCCGCAUGGCUUGAAGAGGAAAAGAGGCGCAAGCUUCUGCUGAUGGAUGGACCCGCGGUGCAUUAGCUAGUUGGUGAGGUAACGGCUCACCAAGGCCGUGAUGCAUAGCCGACCUGAGAGGGUGAUCGGCCACAUUGGGACUGAGACACGGCCCAAACUCCUACGGGAGGCAGCAGUAGGGAAUCUUCCGCAAUGGACGCAAGUCUGACGGAGCAACGCCGCGUGAGUGAAGAAGGUUUUCGGAUCGUAAAACUCUGUUGUUAGAGAAGAACAAGUGCUAGAGUAACUGUUAGCGCCUUGACGGUAUCUAACCAGAAAGCCACGGCUAACUACGUG
rnacentral:rRNA from 1 species